rnacentral:rRNA from 1 species
GUGCCAGCAGCCGCGGUAAUACGGAGGAUCCAAGCGUUAUCCGGAUUUAUUGGGUUUAAAGGGUGCGUAGGCGGCCUAUUAAGUCAGGGGUGAAAGACGGUGGCUCAACCAUCGCAGUGCCUUUGAUACUGAUAGGCUUGAUUACACUUGAGGUAGGCGGAAUGUGACAAGUAGCGGUGAAAUGCAUAGAUAUGUCACAGAACACCAAUUGCGAAGGCAGCUUACUAAGGUGUUAAUGACGCUGAGGCACGAAAGCGUGGGGAUCAAACAGGAUUAGAUACCCCUGUAGUCC